rnacentral:rRNA from 1 species
UACGUAGGGGGCAAGCGUUAUCCGGAUUUACUGGGUGUAAAGGGAGCGUAGACGGUAUGGUAAGUCAGAUGUGAAAGGCAGGGGCUCAACCCUUGAACUGCAUUUGAAACUAUCAGACUAGAGUGUCGGAGAGGUAAGUGGAAUUCCUAGUGUAGCGGUGAAAUGCGUAGAUAUUAGGAGGAACACCAGUGGCGAAGGCGGCUUACUGGACGAUAACUGACGUUGAGGCUCGAAAGCGUGGGGAGCAAACAGGAUUAGAUACCCCGGUAGUCCCUGAG